rnacentral:rRNA from 1 species
GCAUAUCAAUAAGCGGAGGAAAAGAAACUAACAAGGAUUCCCCUAGUAACUGCGAGUGAAGCGGGAAAAGCUCAAAUUUAAAAUCUGGCGGUCUUAUGGCCGUCCGAGUUGUAAUCUGGAGAAGUGUUUUCCGCGUCGGACCGUGUACAAGUCUCCUGGAACGGAGCGUCAUAGAGGGUGAGAAUCCCGUCCAUGACACGGACCGCCGAUGCUUUGUGAUACACUCUCGAAGAGUCGAGUUGUUUGGGAAUGCAGCUCAAAAUGGGUGGUAAAUUCCAUCUAAAGCUAAAUAUUGGCGAGAGACCGAUAGCGAACAAGUACCGUGAGGGAAAGAUGAAAAGCACUUUGGAAAGAGAGUUAAACAGUACGUGAAAUUGUUGAAAGGGAAACGCUUGAAGUCAGUCGCGUCUUUCAGAACUCAGCCUUGCUUCGGCCUGGUGUACUUUCUGUUAGACGGGUCAACGUCAAUUUCGAUCGGCGGAGAAAGGUUGAGGGAAUGUAGCGUUGUUUCGGCGACGUGUUAUAGCCCUUUUCUGUAUACGUCGGCUGGGAUUGAGGACCGCAGCGCGCCUUUAUGGCCAGGGGUUCGCCCCAUGUACCGCGCUUAGGAUGUUGGCAUAAUGGCUUUAAGCGACCCGUCUUGAAACACGGACCAAGGAGUCUAACAUGCUUGCGAGUAUUCGGGUGGAAAACCCUUGUGCGUAAUGAAAGUAAAAGUUGGGAGCCUCCGCGAGGGGGUGCACCGACGCCCGGCCCUGACGUUCUCUGACGGUGCUGCGGUAGAGCAAGUAUGUUGGGACCCGAAAGAUGGUGAACUAUGCCUGAAUAGGGUGAAGCCAGAGGAAACUCUGGUGGAGGCUCGUAGCGAUUCUGACGUGCAAAUCGAUCGUCAAAUUUGGGUAUAGGGGCGAAAGACUAAUCGAACCAUCUAGUAGCUGGUUCCUGCGA